rnacentral:rRNA from 1 species
UAGGGAAUAUUGGGCAAUGGGCGCAAGCCUGACCCAGCCAUGCCGCGUGCAGGAUGAAGGCGCUCAGCGUUGUAAACUGCUUUUAUCUGGGAAGAACUGUAGUCCUGCGGGAUUGCUUGACGGUACCAGAGGAAUAAGCACCGGCUAACUCCGUGCCAGCAGCCGCGGUAAUACGGAGGGUGCAAGCGUUGUCCGGAUUUAUUGGGUUUAAAGGGUGCGUAGGUGGUUUAGUAAGUCUGGUUUGAAAGCUGGUCGCUUAACGAUCAGAUGUGGCUGGAAACUGGUAAACUUGAAUGCGUUGGCGGUAGCCGGAACGGGUCAUGUAGCGGUGAAAUGCAUAGAUAUGACCCAGAACACCGAUUGCGAAGGCAGGCUACUACGACGUGAUUGACACUGAGGCACGAGAGCAUGGGUAGCGAACAG